rnacentral:rRNA from 1 species
CCUACGGGAGGCAGCAGUGGGGAAUAUUGCGCAAUGGGCGAAAGCCUGACGCAGCGACGCCGCGUGAGGGAUGAAGGUCUUCGGAUCGUAAACCUCUGUCAGCAGGGAAGAACGGUCACUGUGCUAAUCAGCAGUGAAUUGACGGUACCUGCAAAGGAAGCACCGGCUAACUCCGUGCCAGCAGCCGCGGUAAUACGGAGGGUGCGAGCGUUAAUCGGAAUUACUGGGCGUAAAGCGCUCGUAGGCGGUCUGUCAAGUCAAGGGUGAAAUCCCCGCGCUAAACGUGGGAACUGCCUUUGAAACUGGCAAACUGGAGUGUGUGAGAGGAUAGUGGAAUUCCAGGUGUAGGAGUGAAAGCCGUAGAUAUCUGGAGGAACAUCAGUGGCGAAGGCGACUAUCUGGCACAUAACUGACGCUGAGGAGCGAAAGCGUGGGUAGCAAACAGGAUUAGAUACCCUUGUAGUC